rnacentral:rRNA from 1 species
GAUCUGGCUCAGGACGAACGCUGGCGGCGUGCCUAAUACAUGCAAGUAGAACGCUGAAGAGAGGAGCUUGCUCUUCUUGGAUGAGUUGCGAACGGGUGAGUAACGCGUAGGUAACCUGCCUUGUAGCGGGGGAUAACUAUUGGAAACGAUAGCUAAUACCGCAUAACAAUGGAUGACCCAUGUCAUUUAUUUGAAAGGGGCAAAUGCUCCACUACAAGAUGGACCUGCGUUGUA